AUAACUGUGUGUGUGUCCAGGUUAAAUAUAUAUAACUGUGUGUGUCCCCAGGUUAAAUAUAUAUAACUGUGUGUGUCCUCAGGUUAAAUAUAUAUAACUGUGUGUGUCCAGGUUAAAUAUAUAUAACUGCGUGUGUCCCCAGGUUAAAUAUAUAUAACUGUGUGUGUGUCCAGGUUAAAUAUAUAUAACUGUGUGUGUCCAGGUUAAAUAUAUAUAACUGUGUGUGUCCAGGUUAAAUAUAUAUAACUGUGUG